UGGGGAAUUUUGGACAAUGGGGGAAACCCUGAUCCAGCCAUCCCGCGUGUGCGAUGAAGGCCUUCGGGUUGUAAAGCACUUUUGGCAGGAAAGAAACGUCAUGGGUUAAUACCCCGUGAAACUGACGGUACGUGCAGAAUAAGCACCGGCUAACUACGUGCCAGCAGCCGCGGUAAUACGUAGGGUGCAAGCGUUAAUCGGAAUUACUGGGCGUAAAGCGUGCGCAGGCGGUUCGGAAAGAAAGAUGUGAAAUCCCAGAGCUCAACUUUGGAACUGCAUUUUUAACUACCGGGCUAGAGUGUGUCAGAGGGAGGUGGAAUUCCGCGUGUAGCAGUGAAAUGCGUAGAUAUGCGGAGGAACACCGAUGGCGAAGGCAGCCUCCUGGGAUAACACUGACGCUCAUGCACGAAAGCGUGGGGAGCAAACAGG
rnacentral:rRNA from 1 species